GCCUUGAAUGAUUUUGAAAUCAUCUCAUUUCUUCUAGCUGGUCUGGGAUCUGUAUAUGAUUCCUUUGUUACAUCUGUGACCAUGAGAGUUGAUCCUCUCUCCAUUGAUGAAUUAUAUGGGCAUCUGUUAGCUCAUA